rnacentral:rRNA from 1 species
GAUGAACGCUGGUGGCGUGCUUAAUACAUGCAAGUCGAACGAAGACAGUAGCAAUAUUGUCUGAGUGGCGAACGGGUGAGUAACGCGUUGGUGACCUGCCCCGAAGAGAGGGAUAACAGUCCGAAAGGAUUGCUAAUACCCCAUGUGGUUAUUUGGAUUAGAUGCCUUAUAACUAAACGGAUUUAUUCGCUUCGGGAGGGACCUGCGUCCCAUCAGCUAGUUGGUAGGGUAACGGCCUACCAAGGCUAUGACGGGUAGGGGACCUGAGAGGGUGGCCCCCCACAAUGGAACUGAAACACGGUCCAUACACCUACGGGAGGCUG